rnacentral:rRNA from 1 species
UCGGGAAUUUUGGACAAUGGGGGCAACCCUGAUCCAGCAAUGCCGCGUGAGUGAAGAAGGCCUUCGGGUUGUAAAGCUCUUUUGUCAGGGAAGAAACGGUAGUAGCGAAUAACUAUUACUAAUGACGGUACCUGAAGAAUAAGCACCGGCUAACUACGUGCCAGCAGCCGCGGUAAUACGUAGGGUGCAAGCGUUAAUCGGAAUUACUGGGCGUAAAGCGUGCGCAGGCGGUUGUGUAAGUCAGAUGUGAAAUCCCCGGGCUCAACCUGGGAAUUGCAUUUGAGACUGCACGGCUAGAGUGUGUCAGAGGGGGGUAGAAUUCCACGUGUAGCAGUGAAAUGCGUAGAUAUGUGGAGGAAUACCGAUGGCGAAGGCAGCCCCCUGGGAUAACACUGACGCUCAUGCGCGAAAGCCAGGGGAGCAAACGGGAUUAGAUACCCCCGUAGUCCCUGAGCGGGCUGGCAAGGCGCAU